UACGUAGGGUGCGAGCGUUGUCCGGAAUUAUUGGGCGUAAAGAGCUCGUAGGCGGUUUGUCGCGUCUGCCGUGAAAGUCCGGGGCUCAACUCCGGAUCUGCGGUGGGUACGGGCAGACUAGAGUGAUGUAGGGGAGACUGGAAUUCCUGGUGUAGCGGUGAAAUGCGCAGAUAUCAGGAAGAACACCGAUGGCGAAGGCAGGUCUCUGGGCAUUAACUGACGCUGAGGAGCGAAAGCAUGGGGAGCGAACAGG
rnacentral:rRNA from 1 species